rfam:Candidatus Liptonbacteria bacterium RIFCSPLOWO2_01_FTLL_45_15 rifcsplowo2_01_scaffold_117060, whole genome shotgun sequence.
UAUAAAGUUUUUAAAGGCGGAUUGAAUUCCACUUUAUAACUUUAUGAACCUUAUAACUUUUAACUUUUGUAACUUGCGCGCUGUGCGCGGUUGGGGUAAUAAGGGAGAAACUCCAUAUCACUAACUUAUACGGACGGCACACGGACUCCGCGGAAUUUUUCCGUUAAGUCCGCGUUAUGUCUGUGUAAGUCUGUGUGGUGGGAGAAGUUACAAAAUCGUUUGUUAGCCGAAAUUUUCUGGAAAGUGAUGCCAAAGAGGGUGAAAGCCCCGUAGGCGAAAACGAACGACCUUCUUAGUUUCUUUUCUUCAGUACUUCGAGGCCAGAACACUUCGAAGGAAUUCGCGAGUACUAUCUCGCAAGGCUAAAUACUUUUGAUGAUCGAUAGUGAACAAGUACCGUGAGGGAAAGGUGAAAAGCAGGCCGGUGAGGCCGUUGAAAUAGAACCUGAAACCAUUCGCCUACAAGGAACUGAAGCGCUCCCGCUGUUGCUCAGCGUUCGCGCAAAUUCGAAAUUUCAAGCACUAAAUUCCAAACAAAUUAUAAGUUUUAAUGUUUUAAACAUUUGAAAUUUUUGUAUUGUGAUUUGUUUAUGAUUUGGAAAUUUGGAUUUUGAAUUUGGAGCGCUGAGCAGCAGCGAAGCGUGACAGUGUGCCUAUUGAAGAAUGAUCCAACGACUUAUGGUGCAUUGCUUGUGUAAGCCCCAAAGGGGUGUACGCACAGGGAAACCGAGUCUUAAUAGGGCGUAUCGUGCCUCACUUUUGUGAGGCACCGCGGAUUCCCGCAGAUAUGACGCAGAUGAACGCGGAUAACCAAAAACUAUCUGCGUAAAUCAGCGUAGAAAUCUGCGUUUAUCAGCGUGUGACUCGCGAGAGCGAGGCACGAAUGCAGUGCAUUAUAGACCCGAAGCCAGAUGAGCUUGCCUUGGCCAGGAUGAAUCCCGCAGAAAUGCGGGAGGAGGUCCGAACCGGUUGAUUGUUCAAAAUCUUCGGAUGAGCUGAGGUAAGGAGUGAAAAGCUAAUCGAAUUUGGUAAUAGCUGGUUCUCUCCGAAAUAGUUUUAGGACUAGCGCCGUGUUGUAGCAGAUGGGGGUAGAGCUACUGGAUGAGCGGUAAAGGGCGAAAGCUCAGCCGCUCAAUCAAACUCCGAAUACCGUCUGUGGAAUCACGGCAGUUAGACUGCGGGGGCUAAGCUCCGUGGUCAAAAGGGAAACAGCCCAAAUCAUCAUCUAAGGCCCCUAAAUGUAUGCUAAGUGUAGAAGGUAGUCUCGCGCCGUAAACAGAUAGGAGGUUGGCUUAGAGGUAGCCAUCCUUUAAAGAGUGUGUAACAACUCACUAUUCGAUGGCGAGUGGCGCCGAAAAUGUAUCGGGGCUAAGCAUACUGCCGAAGAUAUGAAUCAAUCUUGUCGGAGACAAGAUCGCGGAUAUGCGCGGAUAUAAAAAUACACGCAGAUUCUCGCGGAUGGAAUUCCAUCAGCGUAAUCAGCGAGUAGAUCAGCACAAAUCAGCGUNNNNNNNNNNNNNNNNNNNNNNNNNNNNNNNNNNNNNNNNNNNNNNNNNNNNNNNNNNNNNNNNNNNNNNNNNNNNNNNNNNNAGAGAGAAUGUUGGAAUGAGUAACCACAAUCCUAAUGAGAAAUUGGGACCCCGAAAAUCCAAGGUUUCCGUGGCACUGGCAAUCAACCACGGGUUAGUCGGCCCUAAGUCAAUGGUGAAAACCGCAGACGAUGGACAGACGGUUAAUAUUCCGUCACUUCCGUGUUUUUCGAUGGAGGGACGAGGUUCAGUAGAUGGAGCGCCUUAUUGGUUUGGCGUCCUUGCGCGAGGUUGUGCUUUUGGUAAAUCCGGAGCGCUGCGUUCAAUCGCGAAUCCCAGCAAAAAGGCAAUUGUCGGUUUUACCGGCGAACGUUCAUCGAGCGAGUCUUCAAGAAAAACUUCUAAGGUUAAAGACACGGAAUCCGUACCGUAAACCGACACAGGUGGAUAGGGCGAGAAGCCCAAGGGGAACGAGUGAUUCGCCGUCAAGGAACUAGGCAAAAAAGCGGCCGUAAGUUAGCGAUAAGGCCUCCCAUUCUUGUCUACGACAAGAAUCGCGGACUAACGCAGAACAAACGCAGACUAACGCAGAAAAUUUCCGCGUAUGUCAGCGUGAAGUCAGCGUAAGUCGGCGUUCUCGCCGUAGGCGAGAGUGGGCGCAGCGAAAGUCUUCCUGGCGACUGUUUACCAAAAACACAGCUCCCUGCUAACUCGCAAGAGGAUGUAUAGGGGGUGACACCUGACCGAUGCGAGAAGGUCAAUCUUGCCGGUCGCGGGGCGACUCGGCACGCAGAUUUUCGCGGAUAAUCAGCGCUUCGCGCUUCGCAGAUUUACGCAGAUACGUAUCAGCGUAUAUCAGCGUAGCGAACGAAGUGAGCUGAAGAAUCCGCGUUCAUCAGCGUGCGAAGUCGCCUCGCGGCUGAGCGAGCUAAGCCCUCGUCAAUGUCAGCGAUAACUAUGAAAAGAUUGUAGUUAUAAAAUUUGGCUAUAUGCUGGAAUAACCGUGCAUCCGGCGCUACUUGAAAAAGUUACAAUGCGUCCGGUGCGGUCAAUCAGCAGGAAAGAUUUUGGUAGUAGUGGUAUAAUCGGGACAAUGAAGCCGCAUUGGCUUAUGAAAAUCCCAGAAAAUAUCGGAUGGUAUAUUUCAGGUUUUGCGGAUGGAGAGGGUAGUUUUAAUGUUUCCUUUCGCAAAGGCAACGGCCAUCGUUUAGGGUGGCAAGUUCAACUUACCUUUAAUAUUUCUCAGCGUGAUAUUACUAAUUUGGAAAUCAUAAAAGAUACAAUGGGAUGCGGACGAUUACAGCAUCGCCGCGAUGGGGUUCACUACUUCGUCGUUGGCGAUAAUCGUUCAAUACUUGAUCGUGUUAUACCAUUUUUCGAUAAGUUUUCUUUCUUUUCUUAUUCAAAAAAGAAAAACUUCUCGUUAUUCAGGAAAAUUGCAUUUCUUGUGAAACAGAGAAAACAUCUUACCCCGGCUGGAUUGCAUCAAAUUGUUGCAAUCCGCGAAAGGUUGAAUGAAGGGAGAGGCAGAAAACGAAAAUACAACAAAGAAAACAUCGAAAUAAUUACCAAAAAAUCCUCAGAGACUACACGCCAAACUUCGACACAAGGUCGGAGAUGAUAUAGUCCGAACUGCAUGGCGACAUGCAGAGUUGUCUUGAGUAAUCGAGACAGAAUAACACAUGAAUCGUUCUAAGGUAGCGCAAUUCCUUUUCGGGUAAGUUCCGAAGCGCACGAAAGGUGUAACGACUGGGAAACUGUCUCGACGGCGAGCUCGGUGAAAAUGCGAUUCCCGUGAAGACGCGGGAUACCUGCAGCGGGACGAAAAGACCCCGGAAGCUUUACUGCAGCUUGGUAUUGGCUUUAAGGUCUUAAUACGUAGCGUAGUGGGGAGCCUUUGAAGCUUCGAUUUCGGUCGGAGUGGAGGCGCCAAUGAAACACCCAUUUUUAAGAUUUUAAAUUCUAACCCCGACGGCAAAAACGUCGAGGGACAGUGCUUGGCAGGCAGUUUCAAUGGGGCGUUGUCCUCCUAAAGAGUAACGGAGGAGUCUAUUAAGGUCGGCUUAGUCCGGAUGGAAACCGGACUGGACGCGUAAAGGCAAAAGCCGGCUUAACUGCAAGACAUACAAGUCGCGCAGAUGCGAAAGCAGAGCUUAGUGACCCGACCAUCAUGCGUGCGUAGCACGCAGUUUAUAAAGUUCGUAAAGUAAAAAGUUUAUAAAGUUUUUAAAGGCGGAUUGAAUUCCACUUUAUAACUUUAUGAACCUUAUAACUUUCAACUUUUGUAA